UGGGGAAUAUUGGACAAUGGGGGAAACCCUGAUCCAGCGAUGCCGCGUGAGUGAAGAAGGCCUUCGGGUUGUAAAGCUCUUUUAGCAGGGAAGAUAAUGACGGUACCUGCAGAAUAAGCCCCGGCAAACUUCGUGCCAGCAGCCGCGGUAAUACGAAGGGGGCUAGCGUUGUUCGGAAUUACUGGGCGUAAAGAGCGCGUAGGCGGCUUUAUAAGUUAGGUGUGAAAGCCCCGGGCUUAACCUGGGAACAGCACUUAAUACUGUAAAGCUAGAGUGUGAUAGAGGAUGAUGGAAUUCCUAGUGUAGAAGUGAAAUUCGUAGAUAUUAGGAGGAACACCAGUGGCGAAGGCGGUCAUCUGGGUCAUAACUGACGCUAAGGCGCGAAAGCGUGGGGAGCAAA
rnacentral:rRNA from 1 species